UAAAGGAGCCUAGCAAGUAGUCAGAGUUUAUAGCUGGCUGACUUUACAUUGAGAUAGCAAAGAGAGAAGGACCUGAAGAUGUUGGCCCUAAGAUUAGGUUGGAGAUUAAUGUACCUUAUUGAAAGAGGCCCAGGAAGCUAGCUGCAAAGGAUUGAAGUGAGUGCUGGAAUAUAAACUAGGAGACAGUAAAACCUGUGCUACCAAUCAUCUGCUAACUGGGGUCACUUGUCCCAAUGGCUUGAGAGCUCAGUCCCCAUACAACUUCCUCAGAAUUAACUGUAUUGGAUUAUGAUGCCUAGUGGAGAAGUUUCUUCCAGAAGCAGCUGUUCUUAAGGUGUUUACUCUCAACCUCAGAGGUCAACCUCUGACCUAGGGAACAUGGGAGUUUGACAUGAAACUAACUCCACUGUCAUCUCAAAGGCAAUUGGAUACAUCAGUUGGUAUCAGCUCUAAAGAGAGAUGACUGAGUCAUGAUUCUACAUGUUAUCUUCAAGAUUGUUGUUGCUGGCAGUUUCACAGCUCUAUUGGAAUUGAAGGUGAUCUACUGGAGGAAGAGGGUGCAGAAACCAGCACAUGUAAAAAUCCCCCGUCCUUCCUUAAAGAAAGAAAAUAAUUGUGUUGGUUGUUUUUCUGCCACUAAAAUUGGCCACAAGGAAAAACUGUGAUCUGAGUGCCCCUUUACCUAAUCUUUCUCCCUUGCUCCCUGUAGCUGACAGCAUUGUAUAACCCUCAGUAAUAUAACAAAUGGGCCACAUGCAAGAGCGAUAAUGAAGAAGUGAGGUUUCCAGCCAAAGUUAGACAGAAACGCAUUUUUUCCCACAGAACUUGGCCCCUUGGAGCAAGAUUUUGUUUUUCUCCAGUAAGGAGCACUCCAUCUAUCCAUUUAUUUAUAUUGUUAAUGUUUGGAACUUUGUCUAUAUCUGAGAUUGGUGUGUUAUGUAUAAAACACUGUUUGCCUUGAAGCUGUAAUAUAUAUGGGUAUAUAUAUUGCAUACACAUGCGUGUAUAUAUUACAGCCUCAAGACAAGCAGUCUUGUAAAGGAAAGAACCAAAUGUACGUCAUUAAGAGUUAAUCAAUUGAAGGGGUGAAUGGCAUUGUUCUGUUCUCCUCACGCACUAAAUCUAUAACAUAGAGGAAUUUCUUAUCCAUUUGGGUUAUAUAUUAAUAUUUAUUGUAUAAGUGCCUACAAUGUGCUUGGCAACUUCUAAAAUAUAUCCAGUCCUUGUCCUAGAGAAUGUACAUUCUAACAUAAAGAACUGGAGAAGACUGGAUGCAUAAAGAGGGAUUUGCACUGAACUUUUCAAAUGUUCAAUUUUAAUCACUGAUCAUUGUCACUGUAGAAGUGAGUCUUUGGGAGGUACUUGAAUUGGGAAAACGUAUAGUGAAUUGUGGUGGGGAGAAUGUAUCAUGCUUUGUGGCCAGGCAGGAAAAGGUAUAACAGGUGGUGAAUUAUUAUUUUUAUUCAUAUUACUGUACCAGCUACAAGCCUGAAGUGAAAUCGGUGGCCCAUUGUGCUAGGCACCAUAGUCACAUGUUAAAAUCUUGCCCCUAAGAGCUUACUCUUUAAAUAAAUAAAUAAAUUAAUUAAAUCUAAACAGAAAAGGUUGUGAGAGGAAAGACUCGGAUCAAGUAACUUGUCCAGGGUCAAAUAGCAAGAUAGUAGCAGAGCAAGGACUAAAACUCAGGACUUCUGAGACCAGGGACCUGUCCACUAGACCAGUUGCAGACAUAUGGAGUAGCAUGGAAGAAACCAUGGAGGUGAAGAAAGGAAUGAAGUGGUGUGGUCACAAUGAGAAACAAAAGCAGAGAUUUUGGCUGGGCAAAAUUGUGUAGAACUUUGAAGACAAGAAUGAAAAGCUAGCUUGAUGCAGAAGUCAGUGAAGGGAUUCAUAGAGGAUCAGGACAAAGCUAUGGGUGAGGAUGAUGAUAUUCAUUGCCACCUUCUUAAUGACCUGGAGGGGGAAGUAGGGAAUUGGGGUUAUAAGAUUGCAGAGGUGAGAUGUAUUUCCUACAUCUGCUCAGGCCUAGAAAUAUAAAAAUGUCAGACAUGUAUGUAAACCUUACCUUAGCUUGUUUGAACCCAAAAAAAGGUUCAAUCAAGUCUAGACAAAGGCUUAAGUGGGAUGUUAUUUAUUUCAAGCUAUACCACUCAUUCCUAUUUCUGUUUUGAAACAAAAACAAUGAGAAACCCUCCUGCACUAUAAUUCCCACGACUGGGCCAAACACAGGUUAAAGUGUCUGUGAGCAAAAACAAAGCAUUUAACUGCUCAGCAUUGCUGUCAGCACACUAUAUUAAUUAAGGGACCAGGCUCUGUUACUUGCACUUGUUUAUUUCAUAUUUUAUAUUUAUCUUAGCCUGAAUUUGAAGUGCCUUCUGAUAGCCCUUCUUAUCCUGUGAAACAUUUGUACAGUAUUGUUCCAAAUCAACUACUACACUAUCUGCUCAAUUGUGAGACAAUUGAGGUCAUAAACGGUGCAAAGAUUCCUUAUCUACAUGAGACAGGGUUGAAUUUGCCCCUGGUGAUAACCUCACUGACUUAAAUUACAACUCUUUUUUCAGUGGAGAAAUGACACAAACCUAAUUUUUAAGUCAUUUGGGAUUUGGGCCCCUAAGUGCUUGAGUCACUUUUGGAAAUUGGAUUUAGGUUCCUAAAUCACAUAGGCACUUUUAAAAAUGUUGCCCUUGGUGAAUGAGUUUUCUACAGAUAAUUAAUUAAAAUAACUGCACAAAGCAAUAACGAUACAGAUAAUAUAUGCAGAAAUGAAGCAGCUAUGUUAUU